CCUACGGGGGGCAGCAGUGAGGAAUAUUGGUCAAUGGGCGCAAGCCUGAACCAGCCAUCCCGCGUGAAGGAAGAAUGCGCUAUGCGUUGUAAACUUCUUUUCCAGGGGAAUAAAAUUCUGUACGCGUCCGGGAUUGAAGGUACCCUGGGAAUAAGCAUCGGCUAACUCCGUGCCAGCAGCCGCGGUAAUACGGAGGAUGCGAGCGUUAUCCGGAUUUAUUGGUUUGAAGGCGGGCGUAGAAGUCUUAGGAGAAAACCUGCAGCUUAACUGGAGACUUGCCAUUGAUACUGUUAGUCUUGAGUGUGGUUAAGGUAGGCGGAAUGUGUAAUGUAGCGGUGAAAUGCUUAGAUAUUACACAGAACACCGAUUGCGAAGGCAGCUUACUGAGCCAUAACUGACGCUGAUGCACGAAAGCGUGGGGAGCGAACAGGAUUAGAUACCCGAGUAGUC
rnacentral:rRNA from 1 species